rnacentral:antisense_RNA from 1 species
CUUCACCGAGCCCAGCCACAGCGGAUGGUCCUCGGGCCGGUCCUGGCCGUAGGUGGCCAGCAGCGCCUGCGCCUC